rnacentral:lncRNA from 1 species
AGAACUUCUGUUUAUAUUUCUUUUCUCAUUGUUUCCAGUUUUGAUGUUUCAUACAGUGCAUAGUAUAUCGGCACAGUAGUGCAGUCCUACUCAUAAAUAAAUAUGCAUGUAUUGUAAAGAGUCGGAGAGGACUAUUGGAGUCCACUGAGCUAAAGAAAUGAAUGCAGGUUGAAGGCCUGGGGGAGAGAUUCUCACCUGAGACGAGCCCCAUUUCCUUCUUCAUGCUAUCUAAACUGGCUCCCAGUACCUCCCAGUGUCAUGUGCCCAGACCUGGUGCGAAGCCAGCACAAAACCUACUUUCACGCAGUUUAGCAAAAAUGACUUCAGUUCUGAUACAUGAAAGAGCACUGUUAUGGAUGGCACUGCUAAUUCUUCAGGUGAACCCCCUCUCUCCAAGUCCUCCAGGAAUCUGAAUCAUCGUGAACUGAACCCUAAAAAUCAGGCACCCUGCCAAAUUCCUACUCAGAUAAUUACAUUUUAUCUGUCUAAAUCCCCUAUGUUACUGCAUUGGGAUAAAGGCUUAAGUUCCCAUCCAUUAAUUUUCUUUCAUUUUGUCUAAGAGGUGUUUGCAUUUUUAUCAUUCAGAAAACAAUUCCAAGGAAUAGUUCUGAGCUUCC